rnacentral:lncRNA from 1 species
AUAUUUAAAUACUCAUUAUUCCUGUUGUAUUACACUUGCAGGAAGUGUUUCGUGAACAUUUCACUUCUUUUGGACACAGGAAGCCUUCAUGAUGGUAGAAGAUUUUCUCCCUCCUUUCAAAAGCUUCAAGUUCAGUUCAAGUAUAAAUUAAGAAGUCCCCUUCAAACUUAGUUGUAA